CGUAUGAUCAAGCAACUUUCUGUGCAAAUCUUAUGGAAUGUGGCAUUCCAGACUUUAAAGGGAAGGCGAGAUCACCAUGGCAACGGCACAUGGGGGCUGGAGAUGGGAAUCCCCUUGGGAGCUCAAAGGCCAACCGAAUUUUAAGCGUCUGCAACUUAAAAAGAAAAGGAAAACUCUGUUAACUCUGUCAACGAUGUCUAUAGAAAUGGGAUAUGGUUAGAGGUCUCUUCAGAAAGAUCCGAAUUAACCCAGCUCAGGCCUGGACGGUAUGACCUGCAAAGGACAGUUGGUUUUAUUUUUUAAAGAAGGGCAGGUCCUGUUUUGUUUUUUGUUUUUUGUUUUUUUUUGUUUUUUUUUUGUUUUUUUGUUUCUGUUGAAGAGGGAGAUGUUGUCACUGCUAACAUCCGGGAAGGAGCAAAAUUUGGGAAAGAGGCCAGGGACCGGCCAACAAGUGUCGUCGGCUGGGGGCCGCCCCGCCUGUGGGCUCCUGACCACCCAGGCUCAGUCUCUCCCUGCUGGGAAACACGGCACAGCUGAAGGCUGCCUGCGGGCCCCGGGCAGCCUGGCCCAGCACGCGGCUCCGGCUCGGAGACAGGCAGAGCCUGUCAAAUACAGCCCGCGGCCAGCGUGACUCGUGGAAGUGUCUUACGACGCAGCCUUCCUCCCUUUCCUGGGAACCGUAGUCUCUCCUUCUGGGGAACUCAUCCUCCCCUACAUGAACCAGUGGUGCAGAGGGGCCUUGGGUCGUGGGGGCGGACAUAGCCCCCAGCAGAGCCGGGCUGAAUGUAUCUAUGCAGGUGGUGCUGGUCUACUGGGAGGUGCAGGCACAGGACUCAGCCUCAAGUCAAAAACUGUGACCAUUGCACCAAGGCUGCCAAGAGGGGGACCAAUUAGUACAAAGUAAAUAUUUCUCAAGUGGGAAAGUGAAUGGAGGCCACCAGAGCCCCCCUCCGAAGGCAGAAAGCACAAGGUUUCAUGCACCCCCUGGGCCAGCGGCAACCAGAGAUGAAAGAGACAAGAGAGUGUCCCACAGCCUUCUGGGCCAGUGCCCACUCGGCAAUUAGACCUCAACAUUUAUUUAUGGAGCUAGCAUUGCACACAACGCUCCCAUUUCCGCCUGCAGAUAAAGAGCAGAGAUAAUGAGCUGGGCAUGGGCGUGGAAGCUUCAGGAACUCUGUGCAGGGACCGCCCCGCAGCAGCAGGCUUCCGGAGCGCCUGGUUCUGAAUGAGAGUCAAAAAGUUCCGCUCACCCCCCUACUCCCCUGACCCCCUUCUCACCACUGGCCCUUCCUCCCAUGCAUCUUCCCAGGGGAUAUUUAUAGGGUUUCCACCAUUUCUGGGAGGCAAUUUGAAAGGAAAAAUAAGGCAGAAGUGAUGCACUUUCCUACUCCGAGCUUGGGGAUGCUGUCGCUGGCCCUCACUGUCCCACGUCCUCUGCCCCCCAGCCUGACACAUUCUGUCACCAAAUACUUGCCUGGACUUGGCAGUCUCAGAGAUCAUUAAUAAUGAAGACCGAGAAGCCACCUCCCCAGCUGUGCUGGUGAUCUUUCCAGCAGAUCUGUGCUCCCACAGGAGUGUUCUUGGGCCUUCCGGGUGUAGACCUGCAUGGAACAGACAGGCUCACGUCUGGGGGCAACCGGGAGUCUGAAAAUUUAUAGCGGCUUGCUCUCACAAAAUUUCCUCACCUGUCUUUGGACCCGCUGUUAUUAGCAUUAGGGUAAAAAUAAUAAAAAAGAGCUCAUACCUUAGAAACCAGCGGGGUGGUAGCUGAUGAAACCCGUCACUGUAAACUUGGAGUAUUUUCGAGCUAACCGGAGAGAGAGAAUGGCCUCUUUCUCCCCCUCAGGUAGAACCACUGCUUCUUCAAACGUGAAAUUGAAAGGCCAGAGAGAGAAAUAGGUUACCUAGUACAUUUUGAGAUGUAAAGUUAACU